AUUGAACGCUGGCGGCAGGCCUAACACAUGCAAGUCGAACGAGCGGCGGACGGGUGAGUAAUGUCUGGGAAACUGCCUGAUGGAGGGGGAUAACUAAGGGAAAAGGGAGCUAAUACCGCAUACCAUCGGAUGUGCCCCGAUGGGAUUAGCUAGUAGGUGGGGUAAAGGCUCACCUAGGCGACGUACCCUAGCUGGUAUGAGAGGAGGACCAGCCACACUGCAACGGUGACGCGGUCCAGACGCCUACGGGAGGCCACAGUGGGGAAUAUUGCACAAUGGGCGCAAGCCGGUUGCAGCCCUGCCGCGUGUAUGAAGAAGGCCUUCGGGUUGUAAAGUACUUUCAGCGGUGAGGCGUUACCCGCAGAAGAAGCACCGGCUAACUCCGUGGCAGCAGCCGCGGUAAUAC
rnacentral:rRNA from 1 species